UACGUAGGUGGCAAGCGUUGUCCGGAUUUAUUGGGUUUAAAGGGUGCGUAGGCGGCUUUGUAAGUCAGUGGUGAAAUAUGGCAGCUUAACUGUCAAGGUGCCAUUGAUACUGCGGAGCUUGAGUACAGAUGAGGUAGGCGGAAUUGACGGUGUAGCGGUGAAAUGCUUAGAUAUCUGGAGGAAUACCGGUGGCGAAGGCGGCAUCCUGGACCGACAUUGACGCUGAUGAGCGAAAGCUAGGGGAGCAAACGGG
rnacentral:rRNA from 1 species